rnacentral:rRNA from 1 species
GUGACAUACCUUAAUGUUGCCUCGGCGGAUCAGCCCGCGCCCCGUAAAACGGGACGGCCCGCCAGAGGACCCAAACUCUAAUGUUUCUUAUUGUAACUUCUGAGUAAAACAAACAAAUAAAUCAAAACUUUCAACAACGGAUCUCUUGGUUCUGGCAUCGAUGAAGAACGCAGCAAAAUGCGAUAAGUAAUGUGAAUUGCAGAAUUCAGUGAAUCAUCGAAUCUUUGAACGCACAUUGCGCCCGCUGGUAUUCCGGCGGGCAUGCCUGUUCGAGCGUCAUUUCAACCCUCAAGCCCCCGGGUUUGGUGUUGGGGAUCGGCUCUGCCCUUCUGGGCGGCGCCACCCCCGAAAUACAUUGGCGGUCUCGCUGCAGCCUCCAUUGCGUAGUAGCUAACACCUCAAAACUGGAAGGCGGCGCGGCCAUGCCGUAAAACCCCAA